GACGAACGCUGGCGGCGUGCCUAACACAUGCAAGUCGAACGGAGCUAGACGCUGAUGAAUAGCUUGCUAGGAAUCUUGUUUAGCUUAGUGGCGGACGGGUGAGUAACGCGUGAGCAACCUGCCUUUCAGAGGGGGAUAACGUUUGGAAACGAACGCUAAUACCGCAUGAUAUUAAAGGGCUGCAUGGCCUGAUAAUCAAAGGAGCAAUCCGCUGAAAGAUGGGCUCGCGUCCGAUUAGGUAGUUGGUGAGGUAACGGCCCACCAAGCCGACGAUCGGUAGCCGGACUGAGAGGUUGAACGGCCACAUUGGGACUGAGACACGGCCCAG
rnacentral:rRNA from 1 species